rnacentral:snoRNA from 1 species
AGACCAUGAAGAGGGUAAUGCUGAAGUAAAUCCUUGUAUCUCUCCAAGCCUCACACAAUGAUUCAGAGUCAAGUUGCAUGAAAGAAGUAAUAUCAUUUCUCAUCUU